rnacentral:piRNA from 1 species
UGAUAAGUGCAAAUGAGUGCCAUCUAUAC